rnacentral:rRNA from 1 species
UACGUAGGGUGCGAGCGUUAAUCGGAAUUACUGGGCGUAAAGCGUGCGCAGGCGGUUGUGCAAGACAGAUGUGAAAUCCCCGGGCUCAACCUGGGAACUGCAUUUGUGACUGCAUAGCUGGAGUGCGGCAGAGGGGGAUGGAAUUCCGCGUGUAGCAGUGAAAUGCGUAGAUAUGCGGAGGAACACCGAUGGCGAAGGCAAUCCCCUGGGCCUGCACUGACGCUCAUGCACGAAAGCGUGGGGAGCAAACAGG